AAAAAAGAAUGGAUGGUCUCGUUGUUGAAAUCGAUUUUUUCACAGCUCUAAUGACAGCCAAAGUAUUCACAAGUGUUUUGCAAUAAUUGCUUUUCAAUCUGGACUCUUUUUAAACGGUAUCCAGAAUUUUUCUUCUUAAUUGAUUGACGAGACAACAGCCGGAAGGAAAGACUCGUAAC